AUUGAACGCUGGCGGCAGGCCUAACACAUGCAAGUCGAACGAGUGGCGGACGGGUGAGUAAUGUCUGGGAAACUGCCCGAUGGAGGGGGAUAACUACUGGAAACGGUAGCUAAUACCGCAUACUAUCGGAUGUGCUCAGAUGGGAUUAGCUAGUAGGUGGGGUAACGGCUCACCUAGGCGACGAUCCCUAGCUGGUCUGAGAGGAUGAUCAGCCACACUGGGACUGAGUCACGGUCCAGGCUCCUACGGUAGGCAGCAGUGGGGAAUAUUUCACAAUGGGCGCAAGCCUGAGGCAGCCAUGCCGCGUGUAUGAAGAAGGCCUUCGGGUUGUAAAGUACUGUCAGCGGGGAGGCGUUACUCGCAGAAGAAGCACCGGCUAACUCCGUGCCAGCCGCCGCGGUAAUAC
rnacentral:rRNA from 1 species